GGUGAAAUUCUUGGACCGUCGCAAGACGGACUUAAGCGAAAGCAUUUGCCAAAAACGCUUUCAUCGAUCAAGAACGAAAGUUAGAGGUUCGAAGGCGAUCAGAUACCGCCCUAGUUCUAACCAUAAACUAUGCCAGCUAGCGAUCCGCCGAAGUUACUUCUAUGACUCGGCGGGCAGCUUCCGGGAAACCAAAGCUUUCGGGUUCCGGGGGAAGUAUGGUUGCAAAGCUGAAACUUAAAGGAAUUGACGGAAGGGCACCACCAGGAGUGGAGCCUGCGGCUUAAUUUGACUCAACACGGGAAACCUCACCAGGCCCGGACACCGGAAGGAUUGACAGAUUGAGAGCUCUUUCUUGAUUCGGUGGGUGGUGGUGCAUGGCCGUUCUUAGUUGGUGGAGCGAUUUGUCUGGUUAAUUCCGAUAACGAACGAGACU
rnacentral:rRNA from 1 species